CAGGCUGAAACCCGCCUGCAUGAACGCGGAAUCGCUAGUAACCGCAGGUCAGCAUACUGCGGUGAAUACGUUCCCGGGCCUUGUACACACCGCCCGUCACGUCAUGGAAGCCGAGAACGAUUGAAGUCGCUGAGCUAACCCUUUGGGAGGCAGGCGCCGAGGUCGGGUUCGGUAACUGGGACGAAGUCGUAACAAGGUAGCUGUACCGGAAGGUGCGGCUGGAUCACCUCCUUU
rnacentral:rRNA from 1 species